UUUAUGUGGUCACAUGAAUAAUUAUGUAUUGGUAUUUUAUUAAUGAGUACAUUUCCAUAGUUAUUGUGAUUUAUUUUUAAUCACCCUUCUCACACUAUUACUUUAAUUUCCCUACCAUGUGACUAAAUACCACAAUUUGCCAAGUGUAGAGAUUAUUGAGAGAGUGUAGAGAUUAGAGAGAUCAAGGCAUUAGAGAGAGAGUGUAGAGAUUAGAGAGAUCAAGGCAUUAAUUGCCAAUAUUUCCUUAAGAUUACAAAAUCCUCUUUAAAGAUCACAAGAUCAUUUACAAUCUUGCAAAAUCCUCUCUCACUCCUCACUCAUCAUUUUCGACCAACACCUCUCUCCCUCUUUCUCUCACUUUCCUCCAUUUUCCUCCAUUGAAGAGACCUUCGAAGCUUC
rnacentral:lncRNA from 1 species